GGCUUUAUAUUCAAUUAUGAUUUUAGACUGCAAUUCUAUAGGUGUAAAUAAAUUACUAAGGCCU
rnacentral:tRNA from 1 species